GGUAGGGCUGCGUCUCUCCCUCGCAUCUCUCUCUCGUGUUGCCGCCGCCGCCCCCUCCCCUUCUCUUCGUUGCCUUCCCUCGCGCCGCCGCCCUCCGAGAAGCAACACGGCCACUACUGCUCCGCGUCGGGCCGAGCUUGCCACCGCCGCCGCUCUCCCCGUCGUGCUCGUUCCUCACCACCGGCCCUCGGGUUGUGGAGGGGCAACGGGUAGCGGUGGAAGAGGAGAUCGACCACCAACUGCUGCCGCCCGUCCUCCUGCUUCGCCAUCAACGGGAGGAGGACCGGAGCGUGUCCUCAAGUUCGUGCUCCUCCGGGAAGAGGGCAAACCGAGAGACGAGCACGCGAUGCGUUGCUCUUCUGGUGGGCUUCUGACGAUUUGAAUCUCAGAGCCAGGCAAGUGUGGGAACAAGGAGAUGAGUUUCGUGGAGACGGUGAGCAGGACGGAGACAAGGAUGGCGACUUGAUGCUCCUUGGAGACGUCCUCUGGAGGUGAUUUUUUUCUGGGCCUUUUGUUUACUAUAUAUCAAUUGGAUCCGCAUGCAGCUGCUAUUCGUGUUGUUGUUCAGCUAUGUCAUGUUGUUUAGGUUCAUAUAUACACUACUUAAUUAGGUUCAUGAGAUGGUUCACUGUUGGACUGGGUGCCAUGGGAUCUCAGGUUAUGGAAUUUGGGGUGUUUUGGUUGUCUGAUGCUUUUAGUUUCAACUUAACUUUGCUUUAGAAACGGUCAACUGGACAUAACAACUGUUUGUAUAUUAGUGAAAUAUACGGAGUGGGGAUCUCUUUGUUAUUGUGGCAGCUGUUGGAUUGGGUGUUAUGGCAUCUGGUGAUCGGAUGCAGUUAGUCUUGGCUUGUUUUUGCUUGAUAAGUGACUGAUUUGGGUUUGAUGGAUAGUUUUACUAUUGGCAGUAUAUACGGAAUGUGGAUCUCUGGGUUGUCAUCUCAGGUUCAGAUGUUUUGGAUGUUUGGUUGAUCUGACGCUGUUAGUUUCGGCUUAUCUUUGCUCCAAAAAUUGGCAGUAUAUAACGCCCUCACCCCUGCUUAUCUCGCCUAACUCAUUCCUUCUUUAUUGCACUCGAGGAUCGUUGGUGCGUGCUCCCCCUGUUACACGGCGCUUAGGAGAAGGAGAGGCUUGGUCUCCACCAAAAAAAGACGAGGAAGAAGUGAGAUGCUGCUAGCCCCUUGGCCUGCUGCAUCUCCAAUCGGCGCUUGCAACAGGAGAACCACAUCCCUGGCCUCUCCAUGCCCCCCCCCCUCCCCCCCAAGCGCCAACCUGUAGGCUACAACGACAAGGUGAGGCGGGCCCCUACUCAGAAAAAACAGGUUCAGGAGGUGUUUAUCCUAUAUAUGAUUCAGUAACUUGCACUCUAAUCUCAUUUGUCUUCUUCUCAUUGGGCAUGGUGUCUUUAGGUUAUCAAAGGGAAUUGAAUAUGGCUGUUGACAAUUCAGAUUGUGGGCAGCUAAGAGUUUAGAAUUACUCAUGUAAAUUUUUGCUUAUAAAUAAUAUAAUGACGCAGUAGUAGCCCCUCCUAUCUUUUGUCAACAAUGGUGUGAUACUAAGAUUUUCACUGCAGUAGCAUCCGUAUCCAAUGUAACUCGGCUAUAGGUUAUCCAAAGUAAUGAUGUCUAUUACUCUGGUUGAUUUGCAAUAUGGUGUUGUGGACCCAUGUGCACCUGAGCUUUGCUACUUUCUCUAAUUACCAUGAAAUUUGUACACAUGAGCAUUCCUAUGCCAUUGUCAAGUGCUACUCCAAACACCAUUUACUGCUUUAAAAUAUCUCUCAACUUGGAUAGAGCAUCCUGAAAGGUCAAGAUUUGCUCAACAUGAUUUUUUUUACUAUGAGGAGCCUUACUUCUAGCACUGGGUUUUGAUUGUCUGUUGUUUUGUACAUCUUUUAUCUAUAUGAUUUUAAUCUUAAGAAAGAGCAUAUUCUGGACUCACAACAAAUUGGAUAGAGCAUCCUGCAAGGUCUCUGAUGUGCAGAUGAUAUUUCAGUGCUCGAUGUGCAGCUUAUUUUGUCGACAUCGCGGUUACAGUUUGCAAUAUUAGACCUACUUGUAUCAAGGGGAAAAUUCUAAUUUCUUUACAGCGGUGUUUGAACAAAAUGGCAUAUUCCGUGGGCUGGAUAAGCUCAGUGAUAUCAGUCCCCUUUUAAAUUGAACAAAAUGGCAUAUUGCUGGGGUGUGGAUGGGAUAUUUCGUUGGUCAUAUAUAAGUUGGUCAUAGUCCCCUUUCCAAAUCUGCAGAAAAUGGCAUAUUCCGUUGGUCAUAGUCCUCUUUUGCAGAAAAUUCUAAUUUCUUUACCACGGUGUUUGAACAAUAGUUAAGCUCAGUGAUGACUUACCAUAUAAUUAGGUUGUGUCCCUUAGCAGAUGUCACACAUGUCCCUUUUGUUGUAUCCAUGAGUGCAAUCUUUGCAGCUAAAGCCUUCAUGAUGGUUCCCGCAUGUUCCAUGCAAAUGUUUGGCAAUGAGUACUCUUGAUAUUUGUAAAUAUAAUAUGGAGUUGAGCAUGAAAGGAUGCAUUAGAUCACUAUAA